rnacentral:rRNA from 1 species
UACGUAGGGGGCGAGCGUUGUCCGGAUUUAUUGGGCGUAAAGAGCUCGUAGGCGGCUUAGCAAGUCGGGUGUGAAAACUCCAGGCUCAACCUGGAGACGCCACUCGAGACUGCUAUGGCUAGAGUCCGGUAGGGGACCACGGAAUUCCUGGUGUAGCGGUGAAAUGCGCAGAUAUCAGGAGGAACACCGGUGGCGAAGGCGGUGGUCUGGGCCGGCACCGACGCUGAGGAGCGAAAGCGUGGGGAGCAAACAGG